UACGUAGGUGGCAAGCGUUGUCCGGAAUUAUUGGGCGUAAAGCGCGCGCAGGUGGUUUCUUAAGUCUGAUGUGAAAGCCCACGGCUCAACCGUGGAGGGUCAUUGGAAACUGGGGAACUUGAGUGCAGAAGAGGAAAGUGGAAUUCCACGUGUAGCGGUGAAAUGCGUAGAGAUGUGGAGGAACACCAGUGGCGAAGGCGGCUUUCUGGUCUGUAACUGACGCUGAGGCGCGAAAGCGUGGGGAGCAAACAGG
rnacentral:rRNA from 1 species